GAUAAUAUAUUUUAAAACAUAACGGCAGACAGUCAGCUAGCCUCGUUCAGGUUGAGGGGCUUUUCCGCACCGGACUGUCAAUCAAAUUGUAAAAAUCACAAGACCGCUUAACUCUAUGGUUUUGGCUCCAAAUCGAGAAAAUGGCCGCGCCCGCCAUUGAGCUUCAAAACGUGUUUUAGAGACCCACGGAGAGUCAAUGGGUGACGUCACAGUAGCUGUGUCCAUAUUUUUUACAGUCUCUGAUCUUAACCCAAUCUCUCCUGGUCAACACACUUUCCCCUUACGUCACAUCCUUACUAGGGUAGUCUUCCAACUACUCUCGGGAAAGUAAUACAGUGCCUCCUAGUGGUCAGAAUACACUCAACCUGUAACAUCUAUUAUUGAACACAACAAAUUGCAUGGUAUGAAACGGGAAUGAACUAUUUUUUCUUGAUAAAAUCAUUGUUUUCAUAGAACUUACGACCAGAGAUGUUUGCUUAACAACGGUGCGACUAGAACUACAAACCAGAGUGUCUGCAUAAGGACGGUCCAAUUAGAACUACGAAGCAGAGUUUUGCUUGACAACGGCAACCCUGUACUUUGAGUAUUUUUUGUUGCAGCUGGCUAGAGUGUCGCCGGAUUGUGCAGUACACAAGUCUUGUACAGUAUCCAGUCUUCUGGGCCAUGUAACAGUAGGAACAGAGACGAGACUAACGGCAACCAAUGAACAAGUUGAGGAUGUUUCAGUGUUGGAGGGGGAUUUGACUGACGACGUAACGUAAGUGAUGAUAACGAGGGAGACCAAGCAGCGGUGCUGCCAGAGAGAGCAGAUGAAUCCCUUUUCUUGAACAAUUUGGCUUUCUUUUAUUUAAAGUUGCAGGCAAAACUUUUACUGCCAGCAUCAGUCAUACAGUCUAUUAUUGAGGAUUUUCAAGCAGUGCAUGAUAUCAGUCAGUCUCAUUUACUUCAUAAGUUGGACGAAAAGCUGGUAUCAUUGGAUAUCUCUGACCGUGAGAGAGAGAGGUUCUUAAAUCCGAGGAUUUGUUUCGGGCAUGCAACACUGGUACCUUGAAAACUGAUCAAAGACAAAAAACGGUUUUUAAAAAUCAGUUUAGAUACAUUGAGCCAGUCCCACCUUAUCUUGGAAAGAAUGAUAUGGGAUCACAGAGUGGCUUUAGUGAAAACUUCAGUAAAGGCACCCAUUUCUGCAGAUUAUGUACUAGAGCCCGACCGAUAUAUCUAUAAUAUAUUAAUAUAUAUUAUAUAAUAAACAAAAAAAAAACGAUGAUUAUUUAUCUGUACUUGUCUGCUUGAACGUUGUAAUUGCUAUUUACUACAAUUAUCCAGUAGAGGGAGCUCUAAUACAAGUGUGAACUGCAGCAGCUGACGCGCUACUUCUCUAAUAAGACGUUUGUUACUCGUGCCUCAUCCAAUAUUCUCCACUGCAAGACUUGUCUGCACAGAUUCGGUUGCGGCAAUAAAGGU